CCUCCAGAAGGAAAAUUAUGUGAUAGGAAUCACUGAAGAUGAAGAACUAGGGCAGUUAACCAGCUGAACGCCCAGACAGGCACAGCUGUGACAGGUCCACGAGACCUCCUUCCUGGUUUUCAAAAGCUUCUAAAUUUAGUCCUUACAAAGAGGAAGGCAAUUAAUUAAUCCACUUCAGCUGAGCAGAAUUUUGAUUACUCUCCCAAACCUAAGCAGAGCCUCGACAAAUGCAUCUUCUGUGCACACCCACCUUCACAGGAUCUGGAGUCCAGAUCAACGCAAGUCAAGUUAUUCACAUAUUCAGAGACAAAAAACUAUUCUACCAUGCGACAAUAGGUGGGUAAUGUAAAAUGAAUGUGAUACAUCUGAAUAAGACUCUUCAUCUAUUAUGUCAUUACUUAUCUAUAUUUAUAAUUAACAAUACAUAGUAUGUUUACAUUCCUUUCAGUUUACAUUUAAUAUAUAACAAAAGCUUUAUGGUGUACUAUUUAGUAAAAGUAAUCUGAAUGCAUAUUAAACCUUAACGGAAUAAUGGGAAUACUCACCGGGGAAGGGAGGAAUUCUUGGUUCCCUUCUGGAGUUUACUUCUCUCGGGUCAACAGGGUAUUUAUCCUUGGUCUUGUCUUUUAAUUUUGUUCCUGCUUUUCUGCUUAGAAUGAACAAACAUGGGCUUUCUCUUUGCCCCCUGCUUCGAUCACUUCCUGUCUGACAGCAGCAGUGGAAGUGCUAUGACCAGCCAACAGUGGGCAUGGGGGGGGGUGGGGGUUACUAAUAAUGAGAGUUACUUCCUGAGAGGGAGGAGCAGAGCACACACCCAGGGAUACUU